rnacentral:lncRNA from 1 species
GUAGGUGUCUUCCCGUUCCGGCUGAAGUGUUCAUUAGUAUUCCCCUGUAAUCCAGCCAGUCGAACCGGGAACCCCGGGCUCCGGCCGUCGCUGCCUCUUCGCUGGGCUAUAAAUCAAGCAGAAUACAGUUACAGUGGAAAAUCACUGCAAGACCGUAGGUGUACAGGACUGACCGAAGAGCCCAGAGACAGCAAACUGAUGUGAAAGAACCGGAGGACGAACACCCAGCAUCGACUGAUGACACUCCCGUAUGUGUGGUGCCGAAACCCAGGAGAGACCAGCGAGAUGCAGAUGGACGGGGACAAGCUGGAACGCAUCCUGGAGCGGCUUCAGCUGCAGGAGCGAGAGUCACUCGAUGCGAUACUGGCGGUCCAGCUCACCGAACGCCGCGCCCUGGCGGAUGCUCUGGCCACCUUGGCGGACAGCCCAGCCCCGCCGACAACCGGCUCCGUCUAUCUCCCGAGGAUGGUGCCGGAGGACGACCCGGAGACCUUCUUGGAGGUCUUUGAGUGCACCGCCUGCGCCUGUCGGUGGCCUCCAGAAGAGUGGGCCUGCGGCUCACUCCCCUCCUCACGGGCGAGGUCUUGUUGGCAGUGCGUCAGGUCCCAGCCGCGGCCGCCGCGGAUUACG